rnacentral:rRNA from 1 species
CCUACGGGUGGCAGCAGUGAGGAAUAUUGGUCAAUGGCCGAGAGGCUGAACCAGCCAAGCCGCGUGAAGGAUGACGGCCCCACGCGUUGUAAACUUCUUUUGCCGGGGGACAAAAUCCGGCACGCGUGCCUCCCCGAGAGUACCCGGAGAAAAAGCAUCGGCUAACUCCGUGCCAGCAGCCGCGGUAAUACGGAGGAUGCGAGCGUUAUCCGGAUUUAUUGGGUUUAAAGGGUGCGUAGGCGGACUGUUAAGUCAGCGGUAAAAGUCCGGGGCUCAACCCCGGCCAGCCGUUGAAACUGGGGGUCUUGAGAGGGCGAGAGGUAUGCGGAAUGCGCAGUGUAGCGGUGAAAUGCUUAGAUAUGGCGCAGAACUCCGAUUGCGAAGGCAGCAUACCGGCGGCGAUCUGACGCUGAGGCACGAAAGCGUGGGUAUCGAACAGGAUUAGAUACCCCUGUAGUC